CAUGCAAGUCGAACGGUCUUUCUAUGGAAGCUUGCUUCCACUGAGAAGAUAGUGGCGAACGGGUGAGUAACACGUGGGUAACCUGCCCAUAAGAGGGGGGAUAACAUCCGGAAACGGGUGCUAAUACCGCAUAGUUUUCUUGAUCGCAUGAUCGGGAAAGGAAAGACGGCCUUUGUGCUGUCGCUUAUGGAUGGACCCGCGGCGUAUUAGUAGUUGGUGAGGUAACGGCUCACCAAGACGAUGAUACGUAGCCGACCUGAGAGGGCGAUCGGCCACAUUGGGACUGAGACACGGCCCAAACUCCUACGGGAGGCAGCAGUAGGGAAUCUUCCGCAAUGGACGAAAGUCUGACGGAGCAACGCCGCGUGAGUGAAGAAAAGGUUUUCGGAUCGUAAAACUCUGUUGUCAGAGAAGAACAAGUUGGAGAGUAACUGCUCCAGCCUUGACGGUAUCUGACCAGAAAGCCACGGCUAACUACGUGCCAGCCGCAGC
rnacentral:rRNA from 1 species